rnacentral:tRNA from 1 species
ACCCUGUAGCUCAGCUGGAUAGAGCGCCGACGUUACGAAUCUGGAGGUCGCGGGUUCAAGUCCCGCCAGGGUCU